UACGGAGGGUGCAAGCGUUAUCCGGAUUCACUGGGUUUAAAGGGUGCGUAGGCGGGCAGGUAAGUCCGUGGUGAAAUCCUGGAGCUCAACUCCAGAACUGCCUUUGAUACUGGCGAUCUCGAGUCCGGGAGAGGUGAGUGGAACUGCGAGUGUAGAGGUGAAAUUCGUAGAUAUUCGCAAGAACACCAGUGGCGAAGGCGGCUCACUGGCCCGGUACUGACGCUGAGGUGCGAAAGCGUGGGGAGCAAACAGG
rnacentral:rRNA from 1 species